CGGGGUGCACCAGGCGCGAAAACUCUACAAUGCAGGCAACUGCGAUAGGGGAACAUCGAGUGAUCCUCAUAUUGGGGGUCUGUCCACCCGUCUAAAAAACGGGUGUUAGCAAGGGCCGGGCAAGACCGGUGCCAGCCGCCGCGGUAAUACCGGCGGCUCGAGUGGUGGCCGAUAUUAUUGAGUCUAAAGGGUCCGUAGCCGGCUUUGCAAGUCUCUCGGGAAAUCCAGCGGCUUAACCGUUGGUCGUCCGGGGGGUACUACAUUGCUUGGGACUGGGAGAGGUAGGAGGUACUCAGGGGGUAGGAGUGAAAUCCUGUAAUCCUUUGGGGACCACCGGUGGCGAAGGCGUCCUACCAGAACAGGUCCGACGGUGAGGGACGAAAGCUAGGGGCACGAACCGGAUUAGAUACCCGGGUAGUCCUAGCCGUAAACGAUGCUCGCUAGGUGUCACAACAGUCGUGAACUGUUGUGGUGCCGUAGGGAAGCCGUGAAGCGAGCCACUUGGGAAGUACGACCGCAAGGUUAAACUUAAAGGAAUUGGCGGGGGAGCACAAGGGCGAAUUGCG
rnacentral:rRNA from 1 species